GCCUUCUAAGCGUUUUCAUCCAAGCCUAAAAGCCUGUAAUUCUCAUAUGGGCUGUGUGGCUAAAUAGGAUAGACUCCCCAUAUACUUGCUCGCCGCUCGUUAAAUGCCUACGGAGAUUACGUAUUUUGUAGUUCUUCGUUGAUGCUACGGCCGGCGGGUUCGCUUGUUCGCACGCACAGACAUGGCAACAUACUACAUUUAUAUAGGAUUUAGGAGCUAGCUGUCUUGUUUGCCCGUUACCAUAAUUACUCAUUGAGGCUCCAUCGACACAUAUUAACUCUCAUAUGGACAACAUCACCUGCGUUUCAAUCGCAAUCAAUGUCUUCCAUCGUUGGCCGACUUCUCCCACAUCCGUGGGCCCUCUAUCGAAAAUUUAGCCUUUAUCGCGGCCUUCAUUUUCACAAGCAAUGAACCCAUCCUUUAGCGUUUUGAGCAGCAUUAAGUGCUGUACAUUCUCAUGGAGUCUUUUUUGUGCGAGGUGCAAAGGAUACUAGCAAAAAUGCCCCGAGGAUGUAUGGGCAGGCCCGUCGAGUCAGUCAAGUCAUGUCCUUGAAAAGCAAUAUCCGCUGUAUGGGUGGCAAAAGCCAGGCAUGGAUCCAAUUAUGCUCGCAGUUAUUCAAAUCCUCCACUCUCUUGAAUCUUCUCGCAAGGUGGAAUUGACGACACCCUGCGCCCAGCUUGCCAAAAUGAGUUCCCAGUCCUUCUAACCGUUCAUUGGACAGAAGCCCCCUAAAACAAUUUCACCUUGUCCCGGUCCAACCUCCACCUCGCACGUCCCCGAUUUGAUAUUGUUGACUCCGAGCUUGGUAUUGCUGUUACUGUUGCCCAAGAUAGUCUGGAUGUGGGUGAGGUCGAGGUAGGGCCUUUGGCUCCAUCUCAUGUUACAGGGUCUGUCAGCGGCAUCGGCAUACGCUUGAAGACAAUGAGGAGGAAGAGGGCUAGUGAAGUCAGUUUGGAGGGCGCUGAAGAAGGCGGAACCGUAAAUAAACAUAGGAGAGUAAUCUAAGUCUAGAAAAUGGGACGAACUUCAUACUUAUACAAAAUAAAUACAAUUUCAGAAAACCUUCCCUUGUAUGUCUUACAUAUGAUAGAACAAGCCUUCCUUGAAAUUAGGGAUGUAGGAAGAAAGGCAACCCAUAGUCAUAGUCACACAAGAAAUGGUUCCCACCAUAUCGUCCUUAUUAAGGUCUACCCAACCGAUUGUCUGAUUGGGCCAUGUCUGAAAAGAAGCAUCAGAGAGCUGAUCAGAGAUAAGAGGAUCAAAGCUUUUCAGGGGAGUAUUACAUCUUUAGUAGACAUGUUUCUCCUCCUUAUAUUUGGUGCCACCCAGCCAUGAUCGUCAAUGCCAUA
rnacentral:sRNA from 1 species